GGUUUAAUUCGAUGCAACGCGAAGAACCUUACCUAGGCUUGAAAUGCUUAUGACCGGUUGUGAAAGCAACCUUCCGGCAACGGCAUAAGCACAGGUGCUGCAUGGCUGUCGUCAGCUCGUGCCGUGAGGUGUUGGGUUAAGUCCCGCAACGAGCGCAACCCUUACCAUUAGUUGCCACCGGAGCAAUCCGAGCACUCUAAUGGAACUGCCUACGCAAGUAGUGA
rnacentral:rRNA from 1 species